AUGAACGCUGGCGGCGUGCCUAAUACAUGCAAGUCGAGCGAACAGACGAGGAGCUUGCUCCUCUGACGUUAGCGGCGGACGGGUGAGUAACACGUGGAUAACCUACCUAUAAGACUGGGAUAACUUCGGGAAACCGGAGCUAAUACCGGAUAAUAUAUUGAACCGCAUGGUUCAAUAGUGAAAGACGGUUUUGCUGUCACUUAUAGAUGGAUCCGCGCCGCAUUAGCUAGUUGGUAAGGUAACGGCUUACCAAGGCAACGAUGCGCAGCCGACCUGAGAGGGUGAUCGGCCACACUGGAACUGAGACACGGUCCAGACUCCUACGGGAGGCAGCAGUAGGGAAUCUUCCGCAAUGGGCGAAAGCCUGACGGAGCAACGCCGCGUGAGUGAUGAAGGUCUUCGGAUCGUAAAACUCUGUUAUUAGGGAAGAACAAAUGUGUAAGUAACUAUGCACGUCUUGACGGUACCUAAUCAGAAAGCCACGGCUAACUACGUG
rnacentral:rRNA from 1 species